AUGAUGGAGAGAGCGGCGUGUUUAGAUCAAGAGGUUUUUGUACGGACAGUAAACGAGAUUGUAGCUCUGUGGUGGACUUUCGGUGGCGGAACAAAAUUAUCAGUUGGACGUGACGCCCCGCCCACCCUCACGGUCCUGCCCCCCUCCAGUGUACAGCUGCAGCAGGAGAAGGUCACACUCGUGUGUCUGGCCAACAAGGGCUUCCCUUCAGACUGGAAGCUGAGCUGGAAGGUGGCUGGUAGCAGCUGGAGCUCGGGGGUGAGCCAGAGCUCCGGGCUACUGCAGAAGGACGGUCUCUACAGCUGGAGCAGCACCCUGACCCUCCAGAAGGAGGAGUGGCUGAAGAAGACAGUGACCUGUGAGGCCACCAAGGACUCCCAGUCUCCUGUCACACAGACACUGAGUAGAGAGCAGUGUGCUGAGGCGUGA